rnacentral:rRNA from 1 species
CCUACGGGGGGCUUCAGUGAGGAAUAUUGGUCAAUGGACGAGAGUCUGAACCAGCCAAGUAGCGUGAAGGAUGACUGCCCUAUGGGUUGUAAACUUCUUUUAUAUGGGAAUAAAACGUUCCACGUGUGGGAUUUUGUAUGUACCAUAUGAAUAAGGAUCGGCUAACUCCGUGCCAGCAGCCGCGGGAAUACGGAGGAUCCGAGCGUUAUCCGGAUUUAUUGGGUUUAAAGGGAGCGUAGGUGGAUUGUUAAGUCAGUUGUGAAAGUUUGCGGCUCAACCGUAAAAUUGCAGUUGAAACUGGCAGUCUUGAGUACAGUAGAGGUGGGCGGAAUUCGUGGUGUAGCGGUGAAAUGCUUAGAUAUCACGAAGAACUCCGAUUGCGAAGGCAGUUCACUGGACUGCAACUGACACUGAGGCUCGAAAGUGUGGGUAUCAAACAGGAUUAGAUACCCCAGUAGUC